GAUGAACGCUGGCGGCGUGCUUAACACAUGCAAGUCGAACGAUGAAGCCCAGCUUGCUGGGUGGAUUAGUGGCGAACGGGUGAGUAACACGUGAGUAACCUGCCCUUAACUCUGGGAUAAGCCUGGGAAACUGGGUCUAAUACCGGAUAGGAGCGCCUACCGCAUGGUGGGUGUUGGAAAGAUUUAUCGGUUUUGGAUGGACUCGCGGCCUAUCAGCUUGUUGGUGAGGUAAUGGCUCACCAAGUCGACGACGGGUAGCCGGCCUGAGAGGGUGACCGGCCACACUGGGACUGAGACACGGCCCAGACUCCUACGGGAGGCAGCAGUGGGGAAUAUUGCACAAUGGGCGAAAGCCUGAUGCAGCGACGCCGCGUGAGGGAUGACGGCCUUCGGGUUGUAAACCUCUUUCAGUAGGGAAGAAGCGAAAGUGACGGUACCUGCAGAAGAAGCACCGGCUAACUACGUG
rnacentral:rRNA from 1 species